rnacentral:rRNA from 1 species
CGAAGAAGUAAGCUUGCUUACUUCUUAGUGGCGAACGGGUGAGUAAUACAUAAGCAAUCUGCCCAUAUGCCUGGGAUAACCGUUGGAAACGAUGGCUAAUACCGGAUAGGUGAAUUGAAGGCAUCUUUGAUUCAUUAAAGUUGGGAUACAACACAUAUGGAUGAGCUUAUGGCGCAUUAGCUAGUUGGUGAGGUAACGGCUCACCAAGGCGAUGAUGCGUAGCCGACCUGAGAGGGUGACCGGCCACACUGGGACUGAGACACGGCCCAGACUCCUACGGGAGGCAGCAGUAGGGAAUUUUCGGCAAUGGGGGAAACCCUGACCGAGCAACGCCGCGUGAGUGAAGAAGGCCUUCGGGUUGUAAAGCUCUGUUGUAAGGGAAGAAGAGAUCAUAGAGGGAAUGCUAUGAUUGUGACGGUACCUUACCAGAAAGCCACGGCUAACUACGUGCCAGCAGC